AUCAAGCCAGGGGAAGCUUUAUAUUGACAAAGCAUGACUCAAAACUAGCCCCUGCCAUCCAUGGACUUCGCAUGUAGUAGUGACAUGUACAGGUUACGGUUUUUCUUCUUCUAGAGACAUGGCAAGCAUGCUCCCCAAUACCAACUAUAGCCACUCCUGCCCUUACUGCUCUAACAGAGAGUAAGUCACAUGUGAUCUGGAUGUACUAAGUCCACAUUGUAGAUUUCUUCAGAAACCAAAUGAAAGGCAAACACUUCAGUUUGACAUUCAAGGCAGUUCAUCUGACUCCAUUGCCUCAUCCACAUUAUUUUUAAUCCCCAUUCGUGUGCACCAUUCCAAGCCCUCGGCAUACCCUGUAUUUUUAAGGCCAUUUAUUGCUAUGGAAACAAAUUACCCCCCCCCCCCAAAGUGACUGUUUAAAACAGUAAGCAUUUACUGUCUUACUCCCAGUUUUUGUGGGUCAGGAAUUUAGGAAGUGCUUAGCUGGAUGGUUCUGGCUUGGAUUUUCUCAGGAGGCUGAUAGGUCACACCUGGGAUCUGGUCCUGAGGUGGCUCACUCAAAAGGCGGUCCUUGUUGCUGGGAGGAGGUCUCAGUUCUUCAUUUCUCUUCCAGGGCUGUUUGAGGCUAGAUGCUGGAUUCCUGCAAAGUAAGCGAUCCAGGAGAGAGUGCCAGGCUGGUGGACACCUUCAUGUUGGUCUUGUGGGAUCUCAAGCAGAUAACCCACUGGAGCCCAUCCAGAAUUCUGAUCUAAAGAAAUGUGAGAUAGUGAAUGUUGUUUUAAGUCGGCAAGUUUAUCAUGAUUUGUAAUGCAGGGAACAAAUUCACAAAACUCAUAUGUAAGGGAACACAAAGCUGUCCUUAUAAUGACCUAGUGUCAUGAGCUGCACAGCAUCACUUCGCCCAUAGUCUAUCAGUUAGGAAUGAAUCACUAAGUCCAUAUUCAAGGGGAGGGGAAUGAGGCUUCACUUUUCUAGAGAAGUGUCAACUUGUAGAUGUAUUUUAAACCACCACACUACUCCUGUUCCACAGUUUGUUCUGUUCCCUUAGUUCAGAAUGCUCUUCCCUGUAUGUGCAUGGCCCAAAACUACAUGUCUUUAUAGUUAACAGCAUCCCUGGUCUCUUCUCAACAGAUCUGAGUGGCACCCCAAGCCCCCAGGCAUGGUGAUAAAAACUGUCUCCAGAUAUUGUCAAAUGUUCCAUGGUGAAAACCAUGGUUGCAUGGUUUUCCACACUUGGUUUAGAACCAUAGUUCUAGAUGUGAAAAGUUGUGAUUUAUUUUUUGUAACCCCAAUGUUAGACAGUAUUAAUGUAUUAAUAGGUUGAUAUAGUUACUACUUUAAAAGACUAUUCUAACAAUCUAGAACGUGACUUUAUUCUUUCAACUUUAUGUUGCUAAGGACCCAGACUCAGCCUGUCCAACCCUUCCUGGACAAACUGGUUCCAGUAGCCUUUCAAUAAAUUCCUCCACCUUUUUUUUUUUUUUUUCAAGGUCUAGCUCAAAUACCAACUUCUUCCAGUUCCAAUUUCCUUAGAAGGAAUUUAUCUUUUCUUCCCCUUCAUAUUUCUAUUACACUUUCCAGAGCUUAAUAGUAGAUUCAGGCUUACAUAUACCCAAAGCAGGUGCCUCCUGAAUGCCUCCAGAGGCCAAGCAUUGUGCCCAGAAUAGUAUAUGCUGGAUCUUAUUGUGAAGGAAAUGGAUUUUUAUCUGGGGCUUUAAAACAAAGGGAUAUACCAAGGGGCCACAUCACUAGGGAAAAAGUUUGGAAGCUAGUCUGGCAAAACCUGCCCUUAAUGGUUUUUUGUUUGUUUUGUUUUUGUUUUUUUUUUUCUCUUUCACAUUAGAGGGUGGGAGUACAAUGAGGAAGUUGAGCACUCACUGUGGAUCAUGAAUGAUGACGUUCGAAUCCUGUCUCACUCACCAUGAGACCAUAGGCAAGUUACUCAUUUGUUCUAUGCCUUAAAUCGCUCAUUUAUAAAACGGAGAUUGUUAUGAUACUGCCCUGAGGGGUUAAAACAAGGCCGUCCACCGUGGAGCUGCGCUAGCUGAAUUAAGAGAACCAGAGGCUCACUCUUUUGGCAUCACUCUCUUGGUUGCUACCUCAAAGGGUAUCAACUCAGGGGCCUAGGGCUCUCCACAUUAGUAUGAGACAAAUACCAACAGCCUUACCAGUGGCUUUACUUAUAAGAAAGUUGAACAGAUGAGUAAAUAGCUUGUCCAGGCAACAUGGUUAGUUAGUGGUAAAUCAAAGACUAGAAUCCAAUUCCCUCAACUCACAAACUGAAUACUUUCUCCACUAACUCUGCCUACUCUAUUGCUGAUG
rnacentral:lncRNA from 1 species